UCAUCUUAUUUUUGGUAGAAAUUAGAUGAAGAUGUUGCUCACUGCAAGGAUCAGUUACAAGAACUUAAAGCUCGUACCGGACUACUUAAUAAAUACAUUAAAAAACAAUCAGACGUCAAAGUUCAGUGCAGUCAGAGACAGCAGCAGAAUAAAGAGUCUGAUCUUUAUAAUGAGAGAGAGAGACUGAAACAAGAACUAGCAGAAGAGAAGAGAGCACAUGCUGAGAUUGAAAACUACCUCAAGAAACACAUUGAAGAUCUUGAUAGUAAGGUUGAGUACUGGAUGUCAAAGUAUGAAGAAGACUUGGAAAUGAAGACCACUGAAGUACAAGAGACUAAGUCAGCCAAAGCAGCAGGACUACAGAAACUGGACGAACUAUCACAAACUGUAAAUAAAAUAAGAUAAAUAUGUAAUAUUGUAA